UGUACAGUCCAUCCCGCAGUGCAUCAC
rnacentral:sRNA from 1 species